rnacentral:rRNA from 1 species
CCUACGGGGAGCAGCAGUGGGGAAUAUUGCACAAUGGGGGGAACCCUGAUGCAGCGACGCCGCGUGAGCGAGGAAGUAUUUCGGUAUGUAAAGCUCUAUCAGCAGGGACGAAAAAAGACGGUACCUGCCUAAGAAGCCCCGGCUAAGUACGUGCCAGCAGCCGCGGUAAUACGUAGGGGGCAAGCGUUAUCCGGAUUUACUGGGUGUAAAGGGAGCGUAGACGGCAAGGCAAGCCAGAAGUGAAAGGGCGGGGCUCAACCCUGUACAUGCUUUUGGAACUGUGGUGCUAGAGUGCAGGAGAGGUAAGUGGAAUUCCUGGUGUAGCGGUGAAAUGCGUAGAUAUUAGGAGGAACACCAGUGGCGAAGGCGGCUUACUGGACUGUAACUGACGUUGAGGCUCGAAAGCGUGGGGAGCAAACAGGAUUAGAUACCCGAGUAGUC